GGCAUAGGAAGAGUCUUCUGAUUGCCUAAAAACCCGUAGAAUUCACACGUCUACUUCAUCUCCUUCGCCACGCCGUCAAUCUCAAACUGCUCCAACCUAAUCGAGUAGUCGAACUCGUCGUCAGCCUCCACAAUCUUGACGUCGGCGGCUGACUGUCUUGUUCUUCCAGGUCGAGUCUUGCACGCAGCGGCAGUGUCUCGAGCAGAGCCUCCACAAUCUUGACGUCGGCGGCUGGCUGUCUCGUUCUUCCAGGUCGAGUCUUGCACGCAGCGGCAGUGUCUCGAGCAGAGCCUCCACAAUCUUGACGUCGGCGGCUGGCUGUCUCGUUCUUCCAGGUCGAGUCUCGCACGCAGCGGCAGUGUCUCGAGCAGAGCCUCCUGAAGAAAUCUGAGGUCAUCAAGCUCAAUUCAGACUCUAGAGUACGAGACCAAGGCGUGUCGAGCUUGAGCAGCGCAAGGUCGCGAUCAAGGACAACUUCGAGGAAACCGCCUUGACGACGUCAUCUUGUCGUCGCACAACGCGAGGUCACAAUCUGGGGCUUCUUCAAGUGACCGUGGAAUUCGCGGUUUGGGAUUGAACGAUGGGUCAGAUCCAGUACUCCGAGAAGUAUGAUGAAUUUACGAGUACAUGUGCGCUCGUUUCUGCUUCGUUUUCUUUACGAGUACACCACCAUGUUUCCUCCACGAGUACACCACCAUGUUUCCUCCAAAUAUCCGCCGAAAGGCACUAGUUUCGGCUUAAAGAUUUGUUUUAUUUUGAUGCAUGAGCAUGGACUAAUUGUAGAGGGGAAGGUUUGAUAAACACAAGUGCUACUGGAUCAUAUGCUUGUUAUCUGCAGGCAGGCAAACCACACAAGUUGGUGAUUUAAUGAAGCUGUCGUCAAAACAGUUUAUUUCCACAAUUUGGGAUUCCCUAAAUGUGCCGUUUACAAAUGGGGAAGAUAGCAAAAUUCUGAUUAGACUUGGAGGAAACAUGGUGGUUUUAGGUUGUAGUUUGGACAUUUAUGCUUCUGCAAUUACAAGGCCGUACCUUUCUGAAGCUUGGGAGGUUAGGGAGAAGAGGAAGAUAGAGAAGCCAUUGAUGAAUUGGAGGCUUCCUGCAUUAGAGGAUGAAAUUGACAUGAAAGACAAUCUUAAAUGGUGGGCUUAUACUGUUGCUUCUACAGUUAGAUGACGAACAUUAUUGUUCUAAGAUUUUUUGUACAUUUUUCUGGUUUGGAUUUUGCUUCAAUUUUUUGACACUAUUUGUAUACAGUAGAUGAUCUACCAGGUGAAUCAAUAUUGUUCUACAACUUGUAAAUGUGAAUAAAAAGUAUAAACAUUUUCAUGAUCAGAUUAUGAAUAUUUGUGCUUAA